rnacentral:rRNA from 1 species
GAUGAACGCUGGCGGCGUGCCUAAUACAUGCAAGUCGAGCGAACGGACGAGAAGCUUGCUUCUCUGGUGUUAGCGGCGGACGGGUGAGUAACACGUGGAUAACCUACCUAUAAGACUGGGAUAACUUCGGGAAACCGGAGCUAAUACCGGAUAAUAUUUUGAACCGCAUGGUUCAAAAGUGAAAGACGGUCUUGCUGUCACUUAUAGAUGGAUCCGCGCUGCAUUAGCUAGUUGGUAAGGUAACGGCUUACCAAGGCAACGAUGCAUAGCCGACCUGAGAGGGUGAUCGGCCACACUGGAACUGAGACACGGUCCAGACUCCUACGGGAGGCAGCAGUAGGGAAUCUUCCGCAAUGGGCGAAAGCCUGACGGAGCAACGCCGCGUGGGUGAUGAAGGUCUUCGGAUCGUAAAACUCUGUUAUUAGGGAAGAACAUAUGUGUAAGUAACUGUGCACAUCUUGACGGUACCUAAUCAGAAAGCCACGGCUAACUACGUG